rnacentral:misc_RNA from 1 species
CAGAGCCUAAAAACUCUCAAACCCACUGUUAAUUAUACCUUUUUUGUUGCUUUGGCGGGCAGUCCCAGGGCGGGGCCUUGCCUGUAUUUUUUGCAGGUGUCCGCCGAAAGCACCCCUAAAAUUCUUUUUUUUAUGGCUGUCUGAGUUUUAAAAAAAAAUUAAGUCA